UACGUAGGGGGCAAGCGUUGUCCGGAUUUAUUGGGCGUAAAGCGCGCGCAGGCGGUCUACCAAGUUCGGAGUGACAGUUUCCGGCUUAACCGGAAAAGGUCUUCGAAAACUGGUGGACUUGAGGACUUGAGGGGGAGACGGAAUUCCGGGUGGAGCGGUGAAAUGCGUAGAUAUCAGGAGGAACACCUGUGGCGAAAGCGGCUCACUGGACCACAACUGACGCUGAUGCACGAAAGCUAGGGGAGCAAACAGG
rnacentral:rRNA from 1 species